GGACAACCUACCCUAAGGAGGGGGAUAACCCCGGGAAACUGGGGAUAAUACCCCAUAGACUAGAGAAGCUGGAAUGCUCUCAAGUCCAAAGGUCCGCCGCCUUAGGAUGGGUCUGCGGUCGAUUAGGUUGUUGUUGGGGUAACGGCCCAACAAGCCCGUGAUCGAUACGGGUUGUGAGAGCAAGAGCCCGGAGAUGGAUUCUGAGACACGAAUCCAGGCCCUACGGGGCGCAGCAGGCGCGAAAACUUUACAAUGCGGGAAACCGUGAUAAGGGAACCCCGAGUGCCCGUAAAUUCGGGCUGUCCAUCAGCGUAAAUAACUGGUGAAGAAAGGGCCGGGCAAGACCGGUGCCAGCCGCCGCGGUAAUACCGGCGGCUCGAGUGGUGGCCACUAUUACUGGGCUUAAAGCGUCCGUAGCUUGGUUGUUAAGUCUCUUGGGAAAUCUACCGGCUUAACCGGUAGGCGUUCAGGAGAAACUGGCAAUCUAGGGACCGGGAGAGGUGAGAGGUACUCCAGGGGUAGGAGUGAAAUCCUGUAAUCCUUGGGGGACCACCUGUGGCGAAGGCGUCUCACUAGAACGGCUCCGACAGUGAGGGACGAAAGCUGGGGGAGCAAACCGGAUUAGAUACCCGGGUAGUCCCAGCUGUAAACGAUGCGCGUUAGGUGUAUCGGUGACCACGAGUCACCGAGGUGCCGAAGGGAAACCGUGAAACGUGCCGCCUGGGAAGUACGGUCGCAAGGCUGAAACUUAA
rnacentral:rRNA from 1 species